rnacentral:rRNA from 1 species
GCACAACGCGAAGAACCUUACCUACUCUUGACAUCCAGAGAACUUAGCAGAGAUGCUUUGGUGCCUUCGGGAACUCUGAGACAGGUGCUGCAUGGCUGUCGUCAGCUCGUGUUGUGAAAUGUUGGGUUAAGUCCCGCAACGAGCGCAACCCUUAUCCUUUGUUGCCAGCGGUUCGGCCGGGAACUCAAAGGAGACUGCCAGUAAUAAACUGGAGGAAGGUGGGGAUGACGUCAAGUCAUCAUGGCCCUUACGAGUAGGGCUACACACGUGCUACAAUGGCGUAUACAAAGAGAAGCGACCUCGCGAGAGCAAGCGGACCUCAUAAAGUACGUCGUAGUCCGGAUUGGAGUCUGCAACUCGACUCCAUGAAGUCGGAAUCGCUAGUAAUCGUAGAUCAGAAUGCUACGGUGAAUACGUUCCCGGGUCUUGUACACACCG